UACGUAGGGUGCGAGCGUUGUCCGGAAUUAUUGGGCGUAAAGGGUUCGUAGGCGGUUUGUCGCGUCGGGAGUGAAAACCAUGGGCUUAACUCAUGGCUUGCUUUCGAUACGGGCAGACUAGAGGUAUGCAGGGGAGAACGGAAUUCCUGGUGUAGCGGUGAAAUGCGCAGAUAUCAGGAGGAACACCGGUGGCGAAGGCGGGUCUCUGGGCCGAUACUGACGCUGAGGAGCGAAAGCGUGGGGAGCGAACAGG
rnacentral:rRNA from 1 species